GCUAAUUACUUGGAACCCUCCAGUGGGUGCUGCUCCAGUGGAUGCUGUGGGACAAAUGCAUUGGACUCCCAGCACUUCAUAGAGAAUGACACUAGAAAGGACUUUGAGGAGGACAUGUAUCCUACAAGGAUUACAAGGAUAGAAGAUAAUGAAUAACAACAACAAAAGCAACAAAAAACAGGAAUAAAGAGAAUCAUGUUGGUUUUGACAACAUUUCUCAAGUACAAGAUACAGUUCUAAAGCAGUUCAGAUAAAGACUGAGUAGGAGA